rnacentral:rRNA from 1 species
AUUGAACGCUGGCGGCAUGCCUUACACAUGCAAGUCGAACGGCAGCACGGGAGCAAUCCUGGUGGCGAGUGGCGAACGGGUGAGUAAAGUAUCGGAGCGUGCCCAGUCGUGGGGGAUAACGUAGCGAAAGUUACGCUAGUACCGCAUACGAUCUAUGGAUGAAAGCGGGGGAUCGCAAGACCUCGCGCGAUUGGAGCGGCCGAUAUCAGAUUAGGUAGUUGGUGGGGUAAAGGCUCACCAAGCCGACGAUCUGUAGCUGGUCUGAGAGGACGACCAGCCACACUGGGACUGAGACACGGCCCAGACUCCUACGGGAGGCAGCAGUGGGGAAUUUUGGACAAUGGGCGAAAGCCUGAUCCAGCCAUGCCGCGUGCAGGAUGAAGGCCUUCGGGUUGUAAACUGCUUUUGUACGGAACGAAAAGGUUUGGCCUAAUAAGCUGAGCUCAUGACGGUACCGUGAGAAUAAGCACCGGCUAACUACGUGCCAGCAGCCGCAGUAA